AGCAAAGUGGUGCCAGGAUUAAGUCAUUCAAUGCUUUGUAAAUCAGAUUUAAUAAUUAGGAAUAGUGCUAGUCUAUUAAAAACAAAAGACUGUAACAAUUCAGCAAACAAUAGAUUAUAGAAACUGUGAAAUUGACAAAUAAUAUACAAUUCAGAGAAACGUAAGAAAGGUGAUUUAAAAUGGCAAAAUUGGCAAAUUUAUAAGCAGGAAAAGAAGAGGCUUUUUAGUGAACAACCAUUUUCAAUUUCUGGAAUACAGGGAAAUGUUUUGGAAUUUCAAAAUAACUCAUUGUAAGAUGAAGAUUUAAAACAGCAAGAAAAACAUAAUGACCUGUCACUACUGUUCACUGCUGCGAAGAAUUCUACUGAAGUGUUAAUAAACAUCAUCAGUUAGGUAAUCUCAGACUUGAAUUGUGGUGCAAGUCACAAGUAUACAGUGAAAAUGUCUGUCUCUGAAGUAAAACAAAACAAAAAACAAAACAAAACCAGGAGUGUUAAUUUUUUUAGGUAGGUUUGUUUUUCUGAAGUUCUUUAAGUUAAAAAUAAAGACUGGCCGGGCGUGGUGUUUUUCCAAAAAUCCAAUUCCUGGAGCUAGAUGUAUAAAAAGCAUAAAAACAAAAUUAUCAACAACUAGGUUAAUUGUUAGGUGAAGUAGUCACAAAAAACAUCCCAGGGAGAAAGGUUAGGUUUAUGUAACAUGAUGUAAUGGAAACAUCACUAGACAGUAAACCAGAUAACCUGGAUCCCACUCCCAUGAGACAUAACUGGUUAUAUGUACUUGGCCUCAUAGCUAUCUACAUUUCUAUUUCUGCAAGGAACUUAGAAAACUGGAGGGUUUAGACCAGAUGCUUUCUAAGGUUAUCUUACAAUUUAAACUGUUACAAUUUUAAGUCUUCUGAGAAACAUUUGUUAUCAGCCGUAACAGGAAUGUUAUAAUUAGAUGGAAUGUGAGUUGCUAGGAACACAGGUAUGCACAUACAACAAAAUAGUGGGGAUAAAAAUAAUACCUUCUAAGAAUACUUGCAGCCACCAUUGUCCAAACAGACUAAAUUCUUGAAGUGGGAAAAUCAUUGGUCAUAAAUUGAUCUUCCACUUAUAUCAAUAAACCUAAAAAAUAAUGUUAGCAGUGCUUGUUAAAUUUGAGGGCAAUGAUACAUAUAAUUCUAUCUUCUUUAUAGUGCUGUUUCAGACUCUGCUACUCAAUUGUGUUCCCUCCCAAAUUCAUAUGUUGAAGUCCUAAACCUCAGCACCUUAGAAUAUGACCUUAUUUGGAGAUCAGGUCUUUAAGUUAAAAGGAGGACAUUGGGAGGGGCCCUAAUCCAAUCAAUAUGACUGGAGUCUUUAUAAAAACAAGAAAUUUGGCCUGGGGCGGUGCCUCAUGCCUGUAAUCCCAGCACUUUGGGAGACUGAGGCAGGUGGAUCACCUGAGGUCAGGAAUUUGAGACCAGCCUGGCCAACGUGGUGAAACCCCGUUUCUACUAAAAAUACAAAAUUAGCCUGGCAUGGUGGCUGACGCCUGUUAACCCCAGCUACUUGGGAAGCUGAGGCAGCAGAAUCACUUGAACCUGGGAGGCGGAGGUUGCAAUGAGCUGAGAUCGCGCCACUGUACUCCAGCCUGGGCGACAAGAGUGAAAUUCUGUCUCAAAAAAUUAAAAAAGCAAAAAAAAAAAAAAAAAGAGGAAAUUUGGGGGACAGACUUGCACACAGGGAGAACACCAUGUGAACAUGAGGCUAUCCAUCUACAAGCCAAGGACAGACCUGAAACAGAUCCUUCCCCCACAACCCUCAGAAGGAACCAACUGCCAAUAACUCCAUUUUGAAUGUCUGGCCUUCACAACUGUGAGACCAUAAAUUUCUGCUAGGUAGGCAACUCAGUUUGUAGUAAUUUGUUAUGGCAGCCAUACGAACUAAUAUUGAUGCUAAUUUAUCAUUUUAUUAAUAAAUGUUGUAAGUUAUACAUUUUCAUGCCAGCAACCCCUAUCUCCCAGAUCUUCCUAACUUUAA
rnacentral:lncRNA from 10 species